AAAGAUCUUCGUUGAUUAUCCUGACAUCUGCUGGUGAGGGCACAGUUGAUUCUAGUCUACUUUUCCCUUCAACAACUUGCUCAAAUCAAAGAUUUUUAGGGGUAUUUUCAGUGACAAGUGGUAAUACAUUCAGUUUAAGUAUUUAUAGUACUUAAAUUCUUGCUGUUAUCACAUAGGAAACCAUGAGAAAUAUUUUAAUAAUUACUUCACAUUGGCAGCCAUUUGACUCUAUCUAUAAAUACAUGUUUGCUUUGAUUAAGCAAACAACAUUAUAAUCAUUACAUGGACUAUGAUAAAAAUAAAGAAAUCAUUUUAGAGGAAUAGUUAUAUAGUCUAUAACUAUAGAACAUCUAAGGAAGAUGCUAAGCGUCUUCCUUAAAACACAGAGAAGAACUGAAUAAUAGGAAUGGCUUAGCUUUGGUUUUCUGCUUUUUAAAAUUAUAAUGUUAAUUUUCAACCUACUUAGCAAAUAAAAAGUAAAUGAUUAACUAUGAUAGAAGCCAUUAACACUCAACACAUAUUUGCAAAAUUUGCUAUUUUUUACUCAGUAUCCAAAUGUUAUGAUUUACUUCUGACUUGAACUGAGUUCUGAAGCCUGCACUGUUUCUUUGGCAGAGAUACAAUGAACCUAUCACGUCAUAAUCUUACUCAAAGCUAUUGCACCUGCAAGUGUGUGCAGUAAACAACAAAUAUCAGAAUUACUUUUUUAGGCUUCAAGAAACUCUCAAAGGAGGCAACUUUUAAAAAAUUACACACAAAUGACAACAUAUGCAGUUCAUCCCAUUAUGCAAAAUCCUUCAAAAAUGAAAAGUUUUAGCUAAUUAAAUCUUUAUCUUGAAAUUAAUAAAAUUAAUAGCUGGUACUACUAAUUUAACUCUAAAAACUGUCAAGCUUUUAUUUUUAAUGGUAUCGAGUGACCAUGCUACUUUAUUUUAGUCAUGUAUAUCUUAUUCCUUCCCUUUACAUUGCUAUAAUUUUAUGAGAAGAAAAAAAUCACAUGUAUCUAGAGAGAAAAGCAAACUUUAUUAAAUAUUUAUUUAAAAUACCCUAGAUUUUGAAUACAUGAUUUAUAUGAACAUUGAUGUCAAUAUAUUUGAGAAAAUUAUAACAUAGUUUUAAUUUAGAAAAGUGUUCAGAAAUACAUUUGCCUACUUUUGAAGAUUUUUGCAACUUCAAGAUCAAAGAAGGAAAAAUAGACCAUCUCAAUUUUUUCCUGAUUUUUUAAAAUUAUUUUAAGUCUUUUCCCAAAACCAUAUGCAUUUAAAACAAAUGCAUUUUAAUUCUAAGGAAACAUUUCAGGAAAAAUCAGAAAAACAUUUUCAGAACCAGAGGAAAAAAUUGUGUGUUGUAUCACCACAGUGGCCAAAAUAUUGCAAUACUGUCAAACUUUCACAUGAGAAUACUUCAUUUUCACUUAAUUCUUAUUUUAAUUUGAUAUUUCAGAAUUAUUUUUGUAUGUUUUACCUUGACUCUGAAGUUAGCAUUUAUUUUUAAGGUAUAAAAUUUAAUGGUCAGGUAAAUUAGGCAAUGAAGACAUCAAUGUGUAAUAAUAAUAUAAUAAGAUAAAAGAAACUCCUUAUUUCUGUAUAAAUAUAACUAUACUAAUCAUAAAAGGUUAGUGUUGUUAUCUGGAGUGAGACUGUUCAGGUUUUAAUUUAUUCUCAUGUAAAAUUAACUAAAAAUCGCCAUUGAUUAAAAAAAGAAAAUGCAAAUGCCAAUGAUUCAUAGUAUUUAGGACAUGUCUAGACAUUUUUAGACAGUGCCAUUUGCUUAAAGACUUCAGGCACAAACUGCAGGCACAGGGACAGAUUGCAUAAGAUGUCACGUGCUUGCUGCAACUGUAUGCAUGUUAUUGAAUUUUUUAGAGCAACCCAUACCAUGAAUAAUUUAAUAGUUAAUAAAAUAUUCAAUCUGACUGAUCCAUUGGUUUAAUUUUAAAAUAAAGACGACUAAUAAAAGGAGUUACAUAUCCUUAUCAAAUCCCAGGCAUUAAUGCAAGUAAAUUGCAACCCAUACGUAGGGAAAACACCAAUUUCUAAGAGACAUGAGAUUAACGAUUGGGGGCGGGAAGGAGUGCAAGGAAAAUUCUGUGUUAGCACUGGCUUCAAUAAGUUUGCCGGAAGUUUAAUUGUUUGGAGCUGUCACGGAAGCCGUACUCUGCCUUCUGCAGAGGUGAGGGAGAAAAAAAUUAGAGAGGUGCAAGUUUUAACAGAAAGGGCUAAUGCAAAAUGGUCUAUUUAUUUUUCCUCAAGCCUUUCCCCUGUCCUCACAAGCUAGCUGGGGGAAAAAGGGAGAAAUCUCCUGAAGAAUAUGGAGCAUCCAGCUUCCCGAGCAUUGUCUAAGAGAACCAGGAUGGAGAGUCCAGGCAACAUCUCCAUGGUUGGCUUGUCUGGCGGAGUAAGCUGUGCCCUCGGCGCGGGUAUCUUCAGGAGACAGAGCUCCUGGCUGCAGCGAGCCGGGACUUGCCGCGCCCCGGGGCUCCCGCAAUCAGACCCAGCCAGGCAAGCGCGGCCACAUAGGCAAGCGCGGCCACAUAGGCUAGACGCACUAUCUUCUCCUCUACCCCGCGCCGCCCUCCACCUCGGAGCGGGGACGUACGGUGGUGGCGGUGACACAAUGCGAGUGAGUGGAGCCUUUGGGAGGAAUUGCGCCGUGAGAAGAGCCCUCAUGAAUGGGAUUAGUUCCCUUAUAAGAAGAGACACCAAGGAAAUGAUCUUUCUCUGCCCUCUGCUAUGUGAAGACAAGGUCAUCUGCAGUUUUUUGUUGUUGUUGAUGAUCUUCCUGUCAUAGACAAUGCUGUAACAAACAGACUAGUAGCCAAAAACUCAAUUGGGAAAUUGUUGUUUCCAAAAACUAAAUGGGAAAUUAUUGUUUAUGUGAUUGAACAUGGAGAUCUUUCAUGAUUCAGCGAUGGCUGGAUUCAGAGGACCAAAGAUUGGUACAAGCAGUGACUUUUCUCCAUCUCUUGGUUCUCUCUGCCCCUGUUUUGGCUCUGGCCAGAUUGUUCACUGUUGACAUAUAGAAGUACUACUGAUUGGCCAGACAUGGUGGCUCAUGCCUGGAAUCCCAGCACUUUGGGAGGCCAAGGCAGGUGGAUCACUUGAGCCCAGAAGUUUGAGACCAGCCUGGGCAACAUGAUGAAACCCCAUCUCUACAAAAUAAAUAGAAAAAUUAGCUGGGUAUAGUGGCAUGUGCCAGUAGUCCCAGCUACAUGGGAGUCUGAGGUGGGAGGACGGCUUGAGCCCAGGAGGUGGAGGUUACAGUGAGCUGAGAUCAUGCCACUGCACUCCAGCCUGGGUGACAGAGUGGGACUCUGUCUAAAAAAAAAAAAAUCAUAUUAUCUGUAAACGGAAAUAUAAAUAAUUUAACUUCUUGUUUUCCAAUUUGGAUUCCCUUUCUUUCUUUCACCUGUAUGAUUGCUUUAGCUAGAACUUCCAGUAAUAUGUUGAAUAACAGUGAUGACCAGUGGGCAUCCUUGUUGUGUUCCAGAUCUUAGAGAAAAGACUUUCAGUUUUUUUCCCCAUUUAACAUACGAGCUAUGAACCUGUAAUAUAUGGCUUUUAUUAUGUUGAGGUAUGUUCCUUCUAUACCUAGUUUUCUUAGGUUUUUUUUUUUAUCAUGGGGGGAUGUUGAAUCAAUUGAAAUGAUCGUAUGGUUUUUGUCCUUCAUUCUGUUGAUAUGAUUUAUCACAUUGACUGAUUUGCAUAUGUUUAACCAUUCUUGCACCCCUGAGAUAAAUGUCACUUCAUCAUGAUGAAUCAAACUUUUAAUAUGUUGUUGAAUUUGUUUGCUAGUAUUUUGUUGAGAAUUUUUGGAUCCAUAUUCAUCAGUGAUAUUGGCCUGUAGUUUCCCUUUUUUGAUAUGUGUUUGACUGGUUUUGGUACCAGGGUAAUACAGGCCUCAUAGAAGAAUGAGCUUGAAAGUAUGCCACUCUCCUCUAUUUUUUGAGAUAGUUUGCAUAGGAUUCGGAUUAAUUCUUCUUUAAACAUUUGGUAGAACUUAGCAGUGAAGCCAUGGAAUCACAGCUUUCCUUGACUGGAAGACAUUUUAUUACAGCUUCAAUCUUGUUACUUGUUAUUGGUCUCCUCAGGCUUUGGAUUUCUUCGUGGUUCAAUGUUGGUAGGUUGUAUGUGUCUAGGAAUUUGUUCAUUUCUUCUAGAUUUUCUAAUUCUUUGGCCUGUAUAAUUGCUCAUAGUAUCCACUAAUGAUCUUCUGAGUUUCUACAGUAUCAGUUGUAAAGACUCCUUUUUCAUCUCUGAUUUUAUUUGGGUCUUCUAUUUUUUGUUAGUUAGGUUUCUCAAUUUUGUUUAACUUUUCAAAAAAACAGCUUUUUUUUAUUAUUAUACUUUAAGUUCUAGGGUACAUGUGCACAACAUACACGUUUGUUACAUAUGUAUACAUGCAGCUCAUCAUUUACAUUAGGUAUAUCUCCUAAUGCUAUCCCUCUCCCUUCCCCCCACCCCAUGACAGGCCCCAGUGUGUGAUGUUCCCCUUCCUAUGUCCAAGUGUUCUCAUUGUUCAAUUCCCACUUGUGAGUGAGAACAUGCAUUGUUUGGUUCUCUGUCCUUGAGAUAGUUUGCUGAGAAUGAUGGUUUCCAGCUUCAUCCAUGUCCCUACAAAGGACAUGAACUCAUCCUUUUUUAUGGCUGCAUUGUAUUCCAUGGUGUAUAUGUGCCACAUUUUCUUAAUCUAGUCUAUCAUUGAUGGACAUUUGGGUUGGUUCCAAGUCUUUGCUAUUGUGAAUAGUGCCUCAGUAAACAUACGUGUGCAUGUGUCUUUAUAGCAGCAUGAUUUAUAACCUUUGGGUAUAUACCCAGUAAUGGAAUGGCUGGGUCAAAUGGUAUUUCUAGUUCUAGAUCCUUGAGGAAUCGCCACACUGUCUUCCACGAUGGCUGAACUAGUUUACAGUCCCACCAACAAUGUAAAAGUGUUCCUAUUUCUCCACAUCCUGUCCAGCACCUGUUGUUUCCUGACUUUUUAAUGAUCGCCAUUCUAACUGGUGUGAGAUGGUAUCUCAUUGUGGUUUUGAUUUGCAUUUCUCUGAUGGCCAGUGAUGAUGAGCAUUUUUUCAUGUGUCUGUUGGCUUCAUAAAUGUCUUCUUUUGAGAAGCGUCUGUUCAUAUCCUUCACCCCCUUCAUGAUGGGGUUGUUUGUUCAAAAAACCAGCUUUUUGUGUUAUUGACCCUGAAUAACCAGCAGUGAUAGGUAGGUAUCACAGGUUUUGGGUGAGACUCUGAAACUUGUUGGCUUCAGGUGAAACUCAGUACAUUCCCAGUGGUGGUGGCUAUGGAGACAGACUCCUUCCACUUGAGAAAAGCAGAGGGAAAAGAAUAGGGGACUUUGUCUUGCACCAUAGCUAUCAGCUCUGCCACACGGGGAUAUAUUGAGCAACAAGUGUGUGCUUUACCCUGCUAUGGCUGAGCCGGUAUCCAAGAUGCAAGACAAAGUCCUCUCCACUCUUCACUCUCCUAUCAAGUGGGGAAAAAAAGGUGUCUUCUUUGGAGCUGCAAGAUAUGCAGCCUGGGAUUAAUGGAGGGGUGGCACCAGCACUUCCUCAGCCAUCCUGGUUGGUGUUUCAGUAGCUCACAUGCCCGCUCCUCCCCAUCCCCCACACAAUCCACUGGCUCUAAGCCCAGUUCAGCCCUAGGAAUUGCCUAGGAGAUGCAGUCGUUGUGGCCCUAGACUGCCUUUCAGUUUAUUCAGCACUUCAGAGCACUCCAGCCCAAGGUGGUGAGGCUUGUCAGAACUCAAAUUCUGACUGCUGGGAUGGAUGAUUCCCUUCUUGCUAGCGCUGGUUUAAAUGCUCUCUCCAUGGGCAGGCAUCAGCUGAGUUUGUUCCAGUUUUGCUUUCUUCUGUAACAAGGCAGCACUAAGUACUAAAUUCAAUGCACUAUGUCACAAUUACAGUAUUCUCCCUCUCCCAAGUGCACAGAUUAUCUCUCUGUGCCACAUGGCCACUGUUGGAGGAUGAAAAAGGGAUGGCAUUGGCAAUUCAAAACUGUUUGUCCUACUUCUUCAGUGCCUCUUUCAAUCAUACGAACUUAUAGCUGAGUACUAUGAGUGCUCACCUGAUUUUUGGUUCUAAAUACUUUUUUCUCUUUGUUUUUUUUUUUUUUUUUUUUGUAGAUAGUUGUUAAAUUGGUGUCCUUGUAGAAGGGGCAAUUGGUGAAAUCUCCUAUUCCACCAUCUUGCUUUGUUACUCUCUCCAUAUCUAAAUUUUAAAAAUUCCAGCAGUUUAAGAGAAGAGAGAGGAGAAAAAUAUUUUAAAAUUAUAAGAAAAUUUCCAAAUCUUCAGGUCAGCAAUUUUCAAAUUAUUAGUACUCACAAGGGUCUAGGAGAAAGAAAGAAGUGGACUCACCACAACACAUCACUGUGGCAUUUUUUAUUAUUGGGAACAAUAAGAACAUUCUAUAAACUAAUAAGAAGAAAAGAUAUCACAGAAUUUCAUACAAACGAACUGAGAAUUAGGAGACUACUAGAGUUCUUAACAGAAAUAAUUUAACUUGAAAAGAACAGAAAAAUGCCUUCAAAAAUCUGAGGAGAAAUUAUUUUCUACUUAGAAUUAUAUGCCCAGCAAAAUUAUGAAUACAUGCGAAUCUAGAAUAAAGAUAACUUCUGAACAUUCUCGGUUUCCAAGAUGUAUCUCCCAUGCAUCAUUUUAAAGAAAAUUAUAAGAAAAUAUACUUCACUAAAAUAAGGGAGUAAUCCAAGAAAAGGGAGUAUUCUGAUAUUCAAGAAAUCAUGGCUUUAAUCUAAGAGAGGUAAUGGGACUCUGCAAAAUGAUAGUGAAGAAGUAAUGUCAAAUAAUACCUGUGAAAUAAACCUACAGAUCAAUUUAUUUAAAUUGGGUCAAAUAAAAAUGGGUAUAGGAGAUAUUUCCUCAAAAAGAUAAAAAAAAGAAUACUUAAUCUACAGAAAUAUUGGAUGGAGAUUUAUACAACUGGGGGAGGGUUGCAGAUUGAAUUAGUGAUUAAAAACAAAGACAAAAGGAAGCAAUUAUUAAUCUAUAAAAACAAAAAUUAUGUAGGAAAAUGAUUGGAUUAUUAUAUGCUUUGUUAUGAAAAUAAUUUAAAUAAUAUUAAUAAUAUACACACUGAGUAUUGGUUUAACCAAAUGUUUUAUUUAACUAUAUUAGGAUGAUAGAAAAGUAGAAGGUGUUUAUAUAAAUGCUGUGUGAGAAGAGACGAGGGUCCUUAAAGAAAGCUAAAUUCUUAUCUUUUCUAGUGGAAAUAGAUAACCCCUAAACUGGUAAAUGAAGAAUAUAAUAAUAUAAGAAUAUUAUUUUCCAGCCAGACAUGGUGGCUUACGCCUGUAAUACCACCACUUUGGAAGGCUGAGGCGGGCGGAUCAUGAGGUCAGGAGAUCGAGACCAUCCUGGCUAACACAGUGAAACCCCGUCUCUACUAAAAAUACAAAAAAUUAGCCGGGCUUGGUGGCGGGCGCCUGUCGUCCCAGCUACUUGGGAGGCUGAGGCAGGAGAAUGGCAUGAACCCGGGAGGCGGAGCUUGCAGUGAGCUGAGAUCGCGCCACUGCACUCCAGCCUGGGAGACAAAACAAGACUCCGUCUAAAAAAAAAAAAAAAAAGAAAAAAAAAAGAAUAUUAUUUUCCAUGGAGAGACGGAAUAAUACACAAACAGAUUGGUGAAAGGUUUGACUAUGCUGGCCAAUGGGAAAUGUGGGUGAGAAAGAGUGAAUGGUAGCGUGCAUGGGAUUCCUGUCUUUCAUUAUG